AAAAAAUUUAAAAAAUAAUGUUUAAUUUCACCGAACAGGAUUAGAUGGUAUGACGGGUUUAGAAUAUUAAAAUAU
rnacentral:sRNA from 1 species